UACGGGGGGGGUAAGCGUUGUUCGGAAUUACUGGGCGUAAAGGGCUCGUAGGCGGCCAACUAAGUCGGACGUGAAAUCCCUCAGCUUAACUGGGGAACUGCGUCCGAUACUGGAUGGCUUGGAUUUGGGAGAGGGAUGCGGAGUUCCAGGUGUAGCGGUGAAAUGCGUAGAUAUCUGGAGGAACACCGGUGGCGAAGGCGGCAUCCUGGACCAAUAUUGACGCUGAGGAGCGAAAGCUAGGGGAGCAAACGGGG
rnacentral:rRNA from 1 species